CCCAAAGCCAGCUCGGCUCAGCCCCAAAGCCAGCUCGGCUCAGCCCCAAAGCCAGCUCGGCCCCAAAGGCAGCUUGGCUCAGCUCAGCCCCAAAGCCAGCCCAGCUCAAUCCAAACCCAGCUCAGCCCAAACCCCCCCACAGCCUCUGGAGCAGGGCACAACCCCUCUGGAAUGCCAGGGCUGGCUUUGUCACAGCCCCUGAAGGCCUGAGCAUUGUUCAGAGCCCGGGCUGGGAAAUGCCAGGGAAAUGCCACGCGUUGGGAAAGUGCCACAGGCUCCAGGGUGGCAGGAGGGCAGGGCUGGGAGAGUGCCACAGGCUCCAGGGUGGCAGGAGGGCAGGGCUGGGACAGUGCCACAGGCUCCAGGGUGGCAGGAGGGCAGGGCUGGGACAGUGCCACAGGCUCCAGGGUGGCAGGAGGGCAGGGCUGGGACAGUGCCACAGGCUCCAGGGUGGCAGGAGGGCAGGGCUGGGACAGUGCCACAGGCUCCAGGGUGGCAGGAGGGCAGGACAAUGGGAAUUGCUGCUGCCGGGGUGGACUUGGAGAGUGGGGACAAUGGCAGGAGCUGCAGCACUGUUCCUGCCUCAGUGGGACACUGAGGGACAAAAUGCAGCCUGGGAGACAGGGACAGACCCCAGCAGGACACUGAGGGACAGAAGCCACCCUGGGACACUGAGGGACAGAGCCCAGCACCCUGUGAGGGAUCUGAACCCAACUGGGACACUGAGGGAUAAAAUCCAGCCUGGGACACUGAGGGAGAGACCCCAGUGGGACAUGGAGGGACAGACACGAGGUUCCCUCUGGUUUCCCAGUGCAUUGCAGUUCCCAGGUGCCCUGAGAACCGACCAGAACCGUCCCUGCAGCUUCAGAACCAACCAGAACCGUCCCUGCAGCCACUGAGAACCAACCAGAACCGUCCCUGCAGCUUCAGAACCAACCAGAACCGUCCCUGCAGCCACUGAGAACCAACCAGAACCGUCCCUGCAGCUUCAGAACCAACCAGAACUGUCUCUGCUGUCUCAGAACCAUUCCUGCAGCUUCAGAACCGACCAGAACCGUCCCUGCAGCCUCAGAACCUUCUCCCCACCAGGACAGACUGAACUGCAGCAGCUCAGCCACCGCUGAGGGGUGAGUCCUGCCCAGGAGUGGGAGAUCAUCCAUCCAUCCAUGGAUCGCUCCAUCCGUCCAUGGAUCCAUCCCUCCCUCCAUGGAUCCCUCCAUCCCUCCAUGGAUCCCUCCAUCCCUCCAUGGAUCCCUCCAUGGAUCCCUCCGUCCUUUCCCGGUGCCAGCUCUCCAGGCCUGCCCCGUUAUCAGCUCCCCCCAGCAGCUCCCAGGAGGGAGGAAUCGUUUGAAGCGAUCGAAUGUCAGCGAUCAGCCCCGAGCGCAGCGUUAAUCCCGCCUGGCUCCUCCCGGAGCCCUCGGUGGGCAGCGAGAGCUUUUCUAAACUCUGUAAAUUUCUGGAACAAUUUCCUCUAAAAUUUUUUCCUCUAAAAUCACUUUCUAAGCAGCAAUUGCCGACAGAUUUCUCGUGCACAAGCGCUUCUAAACACCCACAGCAGCUUGGCAGGCUCAGCUUUCAUUCUGAGAAGGUUUUGGAGGCGAGCGGGAGGCAAGGACGGGGAAAAGCAGCGCAGGAACGCUUCGCCUUCCCGGCACUUACCUGGCUCAGGUAAUGAAUGAAUUUCUGCUGAUGAAUUCCUGUUAAUUAAUGAAUUUCUGCUGAUGAAUUCCUGCUCAUUGAUGAAUUUCUGCUGAUGAAUUCCAGGGGAGCCCCUGGGAAAUCCAAAUUUAGGAGAAUCUCCUCAGCCGGAGCUUCCUGAGGAAUUUCCCCCCACGUCAGGAGCUGCUCCCAGCCUCCCUCAGCACCUCUGAUCUCCCA